rnacentral:lncRNA from 1 species
AGAAAUUGAAAAUGCAUGAAAUUAUGUUUAAAAUGAAAUGCAUAUGAGUUAUGUGAAAAAAAACGGGAAGUGAAAUACCAUGCAUAGAAUUGAUAUGAAAAGUAUAUAGAAAUGUGAGUUGAAAUGCCAUACAUGAAUUAAUAUAUGAUGCAUAUGUAUGAAUUGGUGCGGUGGACGCACAGGUAAGAAUUGAUUUAUGAUGCAUAUGUAUGAAAUGGUGCGGUGGACGCACAGAUGAGUAUUUAAUUACUGUUAUGAUGAUGAUGAUAUAUAUUGAGCUCAAAUCCUGCACCAUGGUUUAGUGCUUAUAGUAUUCACCGCAUCGCACGCUCGCCUUGGAUCCAAGUAGAUGCUAGUCGUACAGUCCACGCGGAGUGGGUACGACAGACCAGUCGCGAGAGUGUUAGUGAGAUUCCGACUGGUGGGUGACCUUAGAUUAUGUGCACAGAUGAUUUAUGAGAAGCACUAGAGCGUAACUUGUGUGCAGAAGGCCGGACGGGUCACAGAGGUGACUCCGGUAGAGUGAUAAUGAUAGAUUUUGAGCUCUAGGUUCAACCGUAUAGGGCUAUUAGAGGGCCUACGGUUGAUUACUUUCUUGCACCUGAUAUGAUUAUGUUGAUGCAUUCAUACCUUAUUACUGUUGAGAUGAUGUGGCAUGGCAUAAUUAAUAUGAGAAAUGUUGAGAUGACAUGGCAUGGCAUGAUUGAUAAAGAGAUAAUGUUUGAGAUAGUAAAAAUGAAGUUUUGAGAAUAUAUAUGUAUAUUUAUAUUUUACAUUUCUGGGAAAGUAUACAGGUUUUACGGAGAGGGGUUACAACGUUUUGAGAAAUGUUUGGAUUUGGAAAAGAAUUGUUUUACUGACCCACUCAAUUUUGGUUUUGCGCCCCUCCAGGUUCAGGAAUCACAAAGGUGUGGUGACUACGAGGAAUUCGACGGUGUUCUGACAGAUUGGACAAAAUUAGGACUCACCUUCGGGUGUAUCAAUUUAAAUUGUAUCUUAAAGCUUCCGUACUGUGCAAAUGGUUACGUCACUCUCACGUGACGGCCAGCAUGCCCUCCUUCGGGACGGGGUGUGUCAGUUGGUAUCAGAGCAUGGUUGCAAUCUUGGACAUCUUGAGAAGUUUCUAGUGAAUUCUGUCAGAACUACACCGCCUCGUAGCAAACCACGUAGUUAGAGGAAUUUAGUCUCCCUGAUUUAGCGGUUUAGAGGAAACUAUUAUUAUGGUGAUUCAGUAUAUUAUCAAAAUGGACAUUUUAAGACGGGUUAUGAGUUGAAUUUGAAUCACCUUAUGGAAUGAUGAACCUGAGGGAGCGAAGUAACGGUUUAACCAUUUGGAAAAGAUGUUUCAGAUUAUGCAAGUUAAAGGAAAUUUCCUUCUGACAAGGGGUCGAGACGACUACCUGGUUUUGGGUAUGAAUUUGUAUCCUGGUGGAAACAUGAUUGUUAAUUGUUGUCACCGGAGGAAACAGCUGAUUGAGAAUUAUUUAAGGACUUGUUUAAGGAAAAGUUUAUCCCUCCGGCAUUUAUCGAUGGUAGUAAGCAAGAGUUUGCAAAUGUGAAUCAAGGAAGUUGACGAUAAAUGAAUAUUAUAGAAAGUUUUCAGACUUGCCUCGUUCCAUCCAGAUAUUUGAGACAAGGUGUCUCGAGUAAAGGAAAUGUACCUUGUGCAGCAGGUACAAAAUUAACACUUUGGGAAGUGUGAAAUUAAUAAAUGUGUUUAUGUGAACAGAGGGAACGCAGAAUUGUGAAUUGUCCCUAGAAUCAGUUGUACUCAACAAUUUUCCAUGAUAUCAUAGUGUCGAUUCAGCAGAGUUAUGGACUUAGUAGUUUGGUCGGAUUGACCGUGAGUACAGAGAGAUUUGAUGAGUUAUAUGUUCAGCCGUACAGACCAUGAGAAAUGGAUUCGACUGACACAUGAGAAAUUGGUGAGUUAUAGGUUCGGCCGUACCGACCACGCGGAGUGGAUCCGGCCGACGUAUUAUUGAGAUAAGAGUUGAAUCAGCCGUAUUGAUCAUUCUAGUUGACUUCGGCUGAUAUAUUUCUUAUUAUGUAUGUUAUUACCUAGAGAGUAGUAAAUAAAUGUAGUUGAGACGAGUGUAUGUAUUUUGCAUUGAGUGACAAAAUAGUAAUGUUAUAUCUUUGAGAGUGGUUGCCUACUUAUCGAGACAACGAUGAUUUAUCAGUAUUGCGGGCUGCAGACCGUAAUAUUAAUAACUCAUUCGUGGAUUCGUUAAGCAAGCAACCCGGUAGAUUAUUUUAUGUUAGUAUUGUACUUAUUUAGAAUGCUUAAUAAUAAUAGAAUAUAUAUUGUAUCAGUUAAUUUUGUUCCAUUAGAUUGGUUGGUUAUAAUUGUGACAAGACGGAAUGUUACGGGAAACCAGUAUUUUCCAUCGAUCUGGAUGACCAAAGAUUACUUUUGUAAGUAUGCAAAGUGGAUUGAGUCAGGCCGUUAUUUAUACUGUAAGAGCAAAGAGAUUGUUUUCGAAAGGCUGUCAAAAAUACUUAGCUCAUGUGGUGCUAAAUGAUGUUGUUUGGAGUAGUGUGAAUAAUGUCGAAAGGGUUAGAUUUUCUUGAUGUCUUCCCUGAAAGUAUACCUGGAUUGCCUUCAGGCAGAGAUAUGAGGUUCACUAUUGAUUUGUUGCCAGGUAUAAAUUUAUGUUAAAGAUUGGUUCAUGAUGAGUUAAGGGAAUUGGAAAUUCAGUUGAAAGAAUUGGUUGAUAAAAAUUUUAUUCAACCUAGUACAACGCUUUGGGGGAGCCCCAGUUCGUUGGUAAGGAAGAAAAUGGGCUUUAAGACUAUCCAUUGAUUAUAGACAAUGGAAUCGGGUAACGAUUGGGACCGUUAUCCAUCGUGAUGUACUGAUGUUUAUUUAACCAGCUCAGAAGUAAUUGCGAAGAUUCAAAGAUUGAAUUGAGAUCUGGUUACUACCAAUUGAAUAUUAUAAGUGACGUUGAUCAUAAGAUGGUUUUCUGGACUUGUUAUAGUCUUUAUGAAGUUUGGUGAUGCUAUAUGGAUACUCAUGCUGUUUUAUGAGUUGAUGGAUGAAGUAUUCCAAUAAUGCUUUGAUAAUUGAUAUCAUUUUCGUUGAAGAUAUUCUGGCAUAUUCUGAGCAAGAGCAGAGCAUGUAAACGUAUUAAGUCGGUGGAACAAAGAUUGGAAGAAUGUCGAUUGUAUGCUAAGUUUAGCAAAUGCGAAAGUUAGAUGAAUCAGGUGGCAUUCUGAGAUUGGUUAUAUCUGCUUAAGGUAUUCAAAUGAAUUCUUAAAAGGCAGCAGAAUUGAGAAAUUGGAACAACCACAAGCCAUAAUUGAGAUUCGGAAAUUCUUAACUUAUCAGGCUAUUUUGGAUGGUUGUGAAAGAAUUUUUAGUCAUUGCUUUAUCAUUGACAAGACUGUUGAGAAAGGAGGUUAUGUAUGAGUGGGAAGGAAAUUGUGAGCAAAGGAUUCAACAACUGGAGUAUUUCCUCACUCAUGCACGUAUUUUAGUAAUCCUAGAAGAUAGUGGUAAUUAUUGGUUUAUGGUGAUGGUACAUUAAAUAUUCUUGGAGAUGUAUUGAUGCAAAUGUUAGGGUGAUUGAAUAUGUUUCACGACAAAUGGAACCUAAUGAGAUGAAUUACCCUACUGGUGACUUGGAAGUCACGAUUAUCAUCCUUGCUGUGAAGUUGUGGAGACAUUAUAUGUUGAUAAGAAUGCAAGAUUUUACAAAUCAAAAGAGUCUCCAAUAUUUGUUUAUUCGGAAGGAUUUUGAUAUGAGGCAACAAAGGUGGAUUGAAUUACUUAGUGAUUAUGAUGGUACGAUCAGGGUGAUCGUGAAUUGUUGUAGCUGAAGCACUUGGUGAGAAGACUACGGUAUGAUUAAUGUCUGGCACGUUUGCCAAGAGUAUCAUCUUGUGGAUUGAAAACCAACGGAAGAAAAAUUAAGAAUGGAAGAUCGAGAAGAAGUUAUACUUGUUCAAUUUCAAGUUAGGCCUGUUUGGUAAGGUCGUACUCGAAACUUAAAUGUUUGACGAGGAAUUUAAGAAUUAACCAAGGCAAGGAAAGAAAGGAAAAAGAAUAAGUACAUGAUUCGUGAAUCAAAUGGUAUGUGGAUACAAGAAAGUAUGAAGUAUGUACCGAAUGCUGAGGAUUUAAAGCAAGCAAUUUUGGACGAAGUACACUGUACAACUUCUGCAAUAUUCCAAAAGUAAUGAGAUCUAGUAUACCAUUUGACGUUUUUAUUGGUCAACAGAUUGAAGUAGAAAGAAGUAAACCUUUGGAUUGAGACAGCUAUUUUCUGUUUCGAAACGGAAAUGGAAAGAUAUUACAUUGGACUAUGUGUACAAGUUUCCUUGUAUACAAGAUGGUUACGAUCGAAUGUGAGGUGUUGAUUGGUCAAUGUACCAAGUUAGUACAUUUACUCCAGGGUUGAGUAACGGUACUUAUUUGUUUUAUAGAAAGAAGAAUUGGUUUACGGAACUGCUAAGUUUCUUAAGUAUGUUGGUUGCGCAGUUUCCGAAGUGAAGCCAUAAGGUUCAUGAAGUGUGUCAUGUGUGUGUUUUGUUGACUUGUGAAUGGAAUAUUUCUGGGUAGAGAAAGAUUCGAUCAAGAAAGAGUUUUAGUAGACCCUGAGACUAUGGAUGAGUCUCCUCAAAGUAUUCAGGUGAUUAAGUUUAACCUGAAGGUAGCCAGGAAUGACAAAAGAGAUCAACAGAUGGAUAUGCCACUAAUCGAGUAUAUAAGGUAAAUGGUUUUAUUUUCGAAGUGUUCACCAUAGAAAAGUAUAAUUUGGAUUGGAAAAAGAAGGUCCUGAGAAUUAAGACAGAGUAAGUGGUAAAAGUUUUGUGAAGAAAAUCAUUCAGUAGAAAAUUGUUGGAGAAAGAGAAUCGGAUAAGAGAGAUUUACCGAGGUUGGUAUGAGUAGAUGUUUGGAUUGGUUGUUGGAAUUUCGGGGACGAAAUUCUAUAAGGAGGGAAGAUUGUCACAGCCCGUUCCAAAUUAUUAUAUUCGUGGCUGUGAAUGGACGAAAUUGCCCUUAAGAAAUACUAAGUUUGUGAAGCUCAGGUUGCUAAUUAUCUAGGUUCCGAAGUUUUGAAAAUAAAAUGGAAUUUAAUAAGGAUGGAACUUAGAUUUUUAGGUUAAAAUGUUAAAGUUUGGUGUUUGGAGAUGGGAAUAAGGACCACGUGGGAUCCCCACAUCCCUCAAAACCCUCCUCAUUUCCCGUUCACUGUCUUUCUCUCUCCUCCUUCACGAUUUCUCACUCUCUCUGUCUCUCUCCUUCGAACUCACACGGACCACCACCAAAACCACCCUAAAUCUAUACCAAUGUCAAGUUUGAGACCACAAUUGGAAUCCUGAGGACUUCACGAUCACGUUGGUAUCCAUUUCAGGUAAGUUUUACUUCGGAAAACCUAGAUUCUAAACUCCCCAUGAAAGUGUACUGUUCAUGAGCUUUGAAUUGGUUGAUUUUUAGGACAAUCCAAGCUCAUAGUGAGCUUAGUGAGGUCCCAAGGAAGCUCGGAGUGCUUCGUUGGAAGUUUUUGGACGUAAGAACACGGAGAUCGAUAAGUUCAAAGUUUGGCCGGAGCUUUCGAGGCAUUUUCCGGCGAAUCCCCGGCGAGUUAGGCGUCGAGGUAGGUAUCAAUCUCUUCGUCUCGUCAAGUACUACAACUUUCCUUUUUGUUUCACUCAAUUUCGUUGAGUAUUGAAGAAGUUAUACUCAUUUGAAAAAUACCCAGUUUCCGGCGACCUCCGAGGCUUUCGAGGCAGUUUCCGGCCAAACUACGGCGAACUAGGUGUUGGGAAAGGUACCAUUCUCUUUGUCUCUUCAAGGGCUACAACUUUCGUUUUUGAAUCACUUGAUUUCGUUGAGAAAUGACAAAGUUAUGGCAAUUUGAAAAACUGCCCAGAAAACGGCCGCCGGAAAAACCAGUCCGGCGACCCAAGGAAGAAGAAGGUGCUACAGUAAAAAUAAAAAAUAAAAAUAAAAUUAUUUUAAAAAUAUGUCGACGUCCGUGACGUCGAGUAGAUCACUGUGGUAUAUUCAUAUACCUAAAUUGAACACCGUAUGAGAAAGUUAUUGAAGAUUGUUGGUUAGGUGUUCAAAUAACGUUUUAUAGUUUUCACAUUUAGGUGAAAAUGUGAAUUGAUGAUCCGACCGUUGGAUCGUCACCAAACUUUGAUACGUUGUAAUACGUAAUAUUUGAGGAUUAUUGGAACUUACGGAUUGGGAAUCCGAGUUACGGAUCUUCCGGAAUUGGAAUUGUAAGUCCAUAAUAUAAAAUGUUAACCGUCACUUAGUUUUGGAAAUUGACGGAGAUCCGACCGUUGGAUGGUAAUGAAAUUUUAGGAUGUUGUCCUAGAGGUAUAAUGUGGACCUCUGGAAGUUAUGGAUUUAAAAUCUGAGGGGUGGAUCUUCCGGAUCAAUCUACGUAGUGACGUAUUUUAUAUAAGUUAUAUAUUCUAUCGAUAUGAAUUCUGAGGUUGGAAUUGAUUAUUGUUUUAGGCGCCGAUCGUCAUGACGCCUUGGCGUAUUGUGCUAGGGAGUUGUAGGGCGAACUCCAGGUGAGUGGGCAGUUUUGUUUUCCGUAUAUAUAUAUAUACUUAACGUUUUCCCAGAAAUUGAAAAUGCAUGAAAUUAUGUUUAAAAUGAAAUGCAUAUGAGUUAUGUGGAAAAACGGGAAGUGAAAUACCAUGCAUAGAAUUGAUAUGAAAAGUAUAUAGAAAUGUGAGUUGAAAUGCCAUACAUGAAUUAAUAUAUGAUGCAUAUGUAUGAAUUGGUGCGGUGGACGCACAGGUAAGAAUUGAUUUAUGAUGCAUAUGUAUGAAAUGGUGCGGUGGACGCACAGAUGAGUAUUUAAUUACUGUUAUGAUGAUGAUGAUAUAUAUUGAGCUCAAAUCCUGCACCAUGGUUUAGUGCUUAUAGUAUUCACCGCAUCGCACGCUCGCCUUGGAUCCAAGUAGAUGCUAGUCGUACAGUCCACGCGGAGUGGGUACGACAGACCAG